rnacentral:rRNA from 1 species
AGAGUUUGAUCAUGGCUCAGAACGAACGCUGGCGGCAUGCCUAACACAUGCAAGUCGAACGCCUUGGCUUCGGCCAGGGAGUGGCGCACGGGUGAGUAACGCGUGGGAACCUGCCCGGCAGUACGGGACAACCGCGGGAAACUGCGGCUGAUACCGUAUACGGCCUGAGGGCGAAAGAAUUUCGCUGUCGGAGGGGCCCGCGUCGGAUUAGGUAGUUGGUGGGGUAACGGCCUACCAAGCCUGCGAUCCGUAGCUGGUCUGAGAGGAUGAUCAGCCACACUGGGACUGAGACACGGCCCAGACUCCUACGGGAGGCAGCAGUGGGGAAUAUUGGACAAUGGGCGCAAGCCUGAUCCAGCAAUGCCGCGUGAGUGAUGAAGGCCUUAGGGUUGUAAAGCUCUUUCGCCCGCGACGAUGAUGACGGUAGCGGGAGAAGAAGCCCCGGCUAACUCCGUGCCAGCAGCCGCGGUAAUACGGAGGGGGCUAGCGUUGUUCGGAAUUACUGGGCGUAAAGGGCGCGCAGGCGGCUGCUCAAGUCAGGCGUGAAAGGCCUGGGCUCAACCCGGGAAUUGCGCUUGAGACUGGGCUGGCUUGAGUGCGGGAGAGGAUGGUGGAAUUCCCAGUGUAGAGGUGAAAUUCGUAGAUAUUGGGAAGAACACCGGUGGCGAAGGCGGCCAUCUGGACCGCAACUGACGCUGAG